rnacentral:rRNA from 1 species
AUUGAACGCUGGCGGAAUGCUUUACACAUGCAAGUCGAACGGCAGCACGGGGGCAGCCCUGGUGGCGAGUGGCGAACGGGUGAGUAAUACAUCGGAACGUGCCCGGUCGUGGGGGAUAACGUAGCGAAAGUUACGCUAAUACCGCAUACGAUCUGAGGAUGAAAGCGGGGGACCUUCGGGCCUCGCGCGAUCGGAGCGGCCGAUGUCAGAUUAGGUAGUUGGUGGGGUAAAGGCCUACCAAGCCGACGAUCUGUAGCUGGUCUGAGAGGACGACCAGCCACACUGGGACUGAGACACGGCCCAGACUCCUACGGGAGGCAGCAGUGGGGAAUUUUGGACAAUGGGCGCAAGCCUGAUCCAGCCAUACCGCGGGCAGGACGAAGGCGUUCGGGUUGUAAACUGCUUUUGUACGGAACGAAAAGGCUCUGGCUAAUACCUGGGGAUCAUGACGGUACCGUAAGAAUAAGCACCGGCUAACUACGUG